ACGACCACAUCACGUUGAAACUCCGAUUCUCGUACAAUCGCCCAAGUUAAACAACAUCAAGCCUGGUUAGUACCUAGGUGGGUGACCGCUUGGGAAUAUCAGGUUCUGUA